AACGAACGCUGGCGGCAUGCCUAACACAUGCAAGUCGAACGAGACCUUCGGGUCUAUUGGCGCACGGGUGCGUAACGCGUGGGAACCUGCCCUUAGGUUCGGAAUAACUCCCCGAAAGGGAUGCUAAUACCGGAUAAUGUCUUCGGACCAAAGAUUUAUCGCCUUUGGAUGGGCCCGCGUUAGAUUAGCUGGUUGGUAGGGUAAAAGCCUACCAAGGCGACGAUCCAUAGCUGGUCUGAGAGGAUGAUCAGCCACGAUGGGGCUGAGACACGGCCCAGAAUCCUACGCGAGGGAGGAGUGGGGAAUACUGGACAAUGGGGCAAAGCCUGAUCCAGCAACGUCGGGUAAGUGAUGAAGGCCUUAGGGUUGUAAAGCCCCUUUAGCCGGGAUGAUAAUGACAGUACCGGGAGAAUAAGCUCCGGCUAACUCCGUG
rnacentral:rRNA from 1 species